AACGAACGCUGGCGGCAUGCCUAACAAAUGAAAGUCGAACGAGAUCUUCGGGUCUAGUGGCGCACGGGUGCGUAACGCGUGGGAAUCUGCCAUUUGGUUCGGAAUAACAGAUGGAAACGACUGCUAAUACCGGAUGAUGACGAAAGUCCAAAGAUUUAUCGCCAGAGGAUGAGCCCGCGUAGGAUUAGCUAGUUGGUGUGGUAAAGGCGCACCAAGGCGACGAUCCUUAGCUGGUCUGAGAGGAUGAUCAGCCACACUGGGACUGAGACACGGCCCAGACUCCUACGGGAGGCAGCAGUGGGGAAUAUUGGACAAUGGGCGAAAGCCUGAUCCAGCAAUGCCGCGUGAGUGAUGAAGGCCUUAGGGUUGUAAAGCUCUUUUACCCGGGAUGAUAAUGACAGUACCGGGAGAAUAAGCUCCGGCUAACUCCGUGCCAGCCGCCGCAGUAA
rnacentral:rRNA from 1 species